rnacentral:rRNA from 1 species
CGAACGAGACCUUCGGGUCUAGUGGCGCACGGGUGCGUAACGCGUGGGAACCUGCCUUUAGGUUCGGAAUAACUCCCCGAAAGGGGUGCUAAUACCGAAUAAUGUCUUCGGACCAAAGAUUUAUCGCCUUUAGAUGGGCCCGCGUUGGAUUAGCUAGUUGGUGGGGUAAAGGCCUACCAAGGCGACGAUCCAUAGCUGGUCUUAGAGGAUGAUCAGCCACACUGGGACUGAGACACGGCCCAG